GACGAACCGUGCAAACGUUGUUCGGAAUCACUGGGCUUAAAGGGCGCGUAGGCGGGUCUCCCAGUCUGUGGUGAAAGCCCCCGGCUUAACCGGGGAAGUGCCGUGGAUACUGGAGACCUCGAGGAGGGUAGGGGCAUCUGGAACAGUAGGUGGAGCGGUGAAAUGCGUUGAUAUCUACUGGAACUCCGGUGGCGAAGGCGAGGUGCUGGACCCUUUCUGACGCUGAGGCGCGAAAGCCAGGGGAGCAAACGGG
rnacentral:rRNA from 1 species